UACAGAGGGUGCGAGCGUUGUUCGGAAUUACUGGGCGUAAAGAGUGUGUAGGCGGUGUUCCCAGUCUGUUGUGAAAUCUCCCGGCUUAACUGGGAGGGUGCAGCGGAAACUAGAAUGCUAGAGGGUGGGAGAGGUAAGCGGAAUUCCUGGUGUAGCGGUGAAAUGCGUAGAUAUCAGGAGGAACACCGAUGGCGAAGGCAGGUCUCUGGGCUGACACUGACGCUCAUGCACGAAAGCGUGGGGAGCAAACAGG
rnacentral:rRNA from 1 species